rnacentral:piRNA from 1 species
UGGGCUAGCCACUACCGUAAGAAGUCCCACU